AAAGGGAGACCUAAUUCGGGUAGGAGACGAAAAAAAAGUAGUCCCUACCAAGAAUCAAUCCCAAAAGGUCAGAGCGAGGCGAAAUUGGCUUUCAAACUAGGUUCUGGGUUCACACAAGGCCUGAAUCAGGAACAAGGGCUAUUAGCUCAGGUGGUUAGAGCGCACCCCUGAUAAGGGUGAGGUCCCUGGUUCGAGUCCGGGAUGGCCCACCUGCACAGGUGGCAAAAAGAAAGAAAAGAAGCGAGGAAUCAGCACCUUAUCUUACUUAUAUAGUAAGAGAGAAUGCUGGCUCUGAGUUCAGAGUCCAGAGGAACCUUGAAAACUGCAUAGAGCUAGGUGAAAAAGCCAAAAAAGAAGACCGCAAG
rnacentral:tRNA from 1 species